UUAAGCGACUAAGCGUACACGGUGGAUGCCCUGGCAGUCAGAGGCGAUGAAGGACGUGCUAAUCUGCGAUAAGCGUCGGUAAGGUGAUAUGAACCGUUAUAACCGGCGAUUUCCGAAUGGGGAAACCCAGUGUGUUUCGACACACUAUCAUUAACUGAAUCCAUAGGUUAAUGAGGCGAACCGGGGGAACUGAAACAUCUAAGUACCCCGAGGAAAAGAAAUCAACCGAGAUUCCCCCAGUAGCGGCGAGCGAACGGGGAGCAGCCCAGAGCCUGAAUCAGUAUGUGUGUUAGUGGAAGCGUCUGGAAAGGCGCGCGAUACAGGGUGACAGCCCCGUACACAAAAAUGCACAUAUUGUGAGCUCGAUGAGUAGGGCGGGACACGUGGUAUCCUGUCUGAAUAUGGGGGGACCAUCCUCCAAGGCUAAAUACUCCUGACUGACCGAUAGUGAACCAGUACCGUGAGGGAAAGGCGAAAAGAACCCCGGCGAGGGGAGUGAAAAAGAACCUGAAACCGUGUACGUACAAGCAGUGGGAGCACGCUUAGGCGUGUGACUGCGUACCUUUUGUAUAAUGGGUCAGCGACUUAUAUUCUGUAGCAAGGUUAACCGAAUAGGGGAGCCGAAGGGAAACCGAGUCUUAACUGGGCGUUAAGUUGCAGGGUAUAGACCCGAAACCCGGUGAUCUAGCCAUGGGCAGGUUGAAGGUUGGGUAACACUAACUGGAGGACCGAACCGACUAAUGUUGAAAAAUUAGCGGAUGACUUGUGGCUGGGGGUGAAAGGCCAAUCAAACCGGGAGAUAGCUGGUUCUCCCCGAAAGCUAUUUAGGUAGCGCCUCGUGAAUUCAUCUCCGGGGGUAGAGCACUGUUUCGGCAAGGGGGUCAUCCCGACUUACCAACCCGAUGCAAACUGCGAAUACCGGAGAAUGUUAUCACGGGAGACACACGGCGGGUGCUAACGUCCGUCGUGAAGAGGGAAACAACCCAGACCGCCAGCUAAGGUCCCAAAGUCAUGGUUAAGUGGGAAACGAUGUGGGAAGGCCCAGACAGCCAGGAUGUUGGCUUAGAAGCAGCCAUCAUUUAAAGAAAGCGUAAUAGCUCACUGGUCGAGUCGGCCUGCGCGGAAGAUGUAACGGGGCUAAACCAUGCACCGAAGCUGCGGCAGCGACACUAUGUGUUGUUGGGUAGGGGAGCGUUCUGUAAGCCUGUGAAGGUGUGCUGUGAGGCAUGCUGGAGGUAUCAGAAGUGCGAAUGCUGACAUAAGUAACGAUAAAGCGGGUGAAAAGCCCGCUCGCCGGAAGACCAAGGGUUCCUGUCCAACGUUAAUCGGGGCAGGGUGAGUCGACCCCUAAGGCGAGGCCGAAAGGCGUAGUCGAUGGGAAACAGGUUAAUAUUCCUGUACUUGGUGUUACUGCGAAGGGGACGGAGAAGGCUAUGUUGGCCGGGCGACGGUUGUCCCGGUUUAAGCGUGUAGGCUGGUUUUCCAGGCAAAUCCGGAAAAUCAAGGCUGAGGCGUGAUGACGAGGCACUACGGUGCUGAAGCAACAAAUGCCCUGCUUCCAGGAAAAGCCUCUAAGCAUCAGGUAACAUCAAAUCGUACCCCAAACCGACACAGGUGGUCAGGUAGAGAAUACCAAGGCGCUUGAGAGAACUCGGGUGAAGGAACUAGGCAAAAUGGUGCCGUAACUUCGGGAGAAGGCACGCUGAUAUGUAGGUGAAGUCCCUCGCGGAUGGAGCUGAAAUCAGUCGAAGAUACCAGCUGGCUGCAACUGUUUAUUAAAAACACAGCACUGUGCAAACACGAAAGUGGACGUAUACGGUGUGACGCCUGCCCGGUGCCGGAAGGUUAAUUGAUGGGGUUAGCCGCAAGGCGAAGCUCUUGAUCGAAGCCCCGGUAAACGGCGGCCGUAACUAUAACGGUCCUAAGGUAGCGAAAUUCCUUGUCGGGUAAGUUCCGACCUGCACGAAUGGCGUAAUGAUGGCUGCUGUUCCACCCGAGACUCAGUGAAAUUGAACUCGCUGUGAAGAUGCAGUGUACCCGCGGCAAGACGGAAAGACCCCGUGAACCUUUACUAUAGCUUGACACUGAACAUUGAGCCUUGAUGUGUAGGAUAGGUGGGAGGCUUUGAAGUGUGGACGCCAGUCUGCAUGGAGCCGACCUUGAAAUACCACCCUUUAAUGUUUGAUGUUCUAACGUUGACCCGUAAUCCGGGUUGCGGACAGUGUCUGGUGGGUAGUUUGACUGGGGCGGUCUCCUCCUAAAGAGUAACGGAGGAGCACGAAGGUUGGCUAAUCCUGGUCGGACAUCAGGAGGUUAGUGCAAUGGCAUAAGCCAGCUUGACUGCGAGCGUGACGGCGCGAGCAGGUGCGAAAGCAGGUCAUAGUGAUCCGGUGGUUCUGAAUGGAAGGGCCAUCGCUCAACGGAUAAAAGGUACUCCGGGGAUAACAGGCUGAUACCGCCCAAGAGUUCAUAUCGACGGCGGUGUUUGGCACCUCGAUGUCGGCUCAUCACAUCCUGGGGCUGAAGUAGGUCCCAAGGGUAUGGCUGUUCGCCAUUUAAAGUGGUACGCGAGCUGGGUUUAGAACGUCGUGAGACAGUUCGGUCCCUAUCUGCCGUGGGCGCUGGAGAACUGAGGGGGGCUGCUCCUAGUACGAGAGGACCGGAGUGGACGCAUCACUGGUGUUCGGGUUGUCAUGCCAAUGGCACUGCCCGGUAGCUAAAUGCGGAAGAGAUAAGUGCUGAAAGCAUCUAAGCACGAAACUUGCCCCGAGAUGAGUUCUCCCUGACUCCUUGAGAGUCCUGAAGGAACGUUGAAGACGACGACGUUGAUAGGCCGGGUGUGUAAGCGCAGCGAUGCGUUGAGCUAACCGGUACUAAUGAACCGUGAGGCUUAACCU
rnacentral:rRNA from 1 species